GGACCAAUUUUUCCUCCCCAUCGUUUCUUCCAACUUCCACUGCCGUGAUGCUCGCUGCGGCCCCGCAAGCUUUUCUCGCGUCACUCGUGGCGCUGGCGAGCGGCCAAGACGACGAGAGACCUUACGUCGUCUUACAGAAGCAAAACUUGGUCGCGCUCGGGAGCGUCCUCGGCGUCCUCCUGCUGCUGAUGACCAUCAUGGCCGUGUGCGUCUACAAGCCUCUCUCCGGGCGCUGAGCGAGCCACCACUCCGAUGAUCAUCCAAAACAAUUCAAGUGCAAUCACUGUUCGGGUUGUAUACGGUUGAUUAUUUAUUUGGAGCGAUGAGGACUAGCUGUCAAUGCACCUCGUUGACCUCACAAUGUCAAUAAAUGCUUCGGGUGUUUUCCGCA